UUGGAUAAAGGGAACUGUGUGCAUCUGGGCCCUAGGUGAGUGACAAGGGCAAGUGCUGCCCGCCAGGGCCCACGCUGGAGGAAUGGCUCCUGGGCAGUGUGAGGGGCCCCUCUGUGGGUGUUAAGGUCCCAAUCCUGAGUCCUACCCUCACCCAGCAGCCAAAGGGGCUGUGAGCAUGCAUGUGUGCGUGUGCGUGUGUGUAAGAGAGAGUGCAUAUGUCUGCUUCUGCCCACCUGGGUGACAGUGGCCUGGACGGGGGGUGGCUGGCAUUUUGGCAAAUCCAGGCAGGCAGUGAGAGGGACUGAGGACUAAAUCCAGAGAGACAACAUGCACUGGAAAGUUGGGACACAUAUGAGGAUGGCCCUGCCAUCGGCCUCCCCGCCGUGACAGGAUCAGGAGGGAAGAGUGGAACGGCACGCCCCUGUGUCUGGAUCACUGGAAAGAGUCCUGACACCAGAGCUGCCAGUUCUGUGUCCAUGGGGCCUGUGCAGGAGGGGGCCUUUGCCUCUCUGCCGGGUCCCGGGCUUGUCUCCCAAGGCCUCUGCUCUGACAGAAACGGGAAUAGCAUUGGCUGCCCGGACCCUCCUUGCCCCUAACCUACAGAUGGUCAAACUGAGGCAUGAGACAAGAAGAGAGCCAAACAGCACUGAGGAUACAAGUCGCCCCAGUGUUUGUGGCUUGGGGUUCCUCACCAUGGCCACAGGGAUUAGGGCAGAUUCAUGAAUCCCACAUGGCUGGCAUGCCUCUAUGAUCCGUGGACAUCCUGAAGCUCUCAGAGCCCACCAAGUGAUAAAAGUGGAACCUGGACCAUCGCCCCCCCACCCCCCAACCUCAGGCUAACCCUGCCUCCCUUCCUGCAGCAUGGCCUCCUGGCCUUCUGGCCUCACAUAGCGGCCUCCACGGGGUGAUCUGCUGCCCUGCCUCCGCUCACCUUGCUGUUCUCCCUAUGCAGGUGGCCUGGACACUGCUCUCCAGGAGCCCCCCCAGGCUGCAUCCGUACCCAUUGAGUGCUUGCUGGACACACAGAUACGGCACAGGGAGCCCCACUUGCAAGAACUGCCUGCGGGCGGCUCAGCAAGACUGUUGAGAAGAAGGAACCCAGGCUCAAGCCCCGGGCAGGUUGGUCGGGAGCAUAUGGCAGCUGAUGGUCAGCAGCAGCCCCUGCCACCCGCGCCCCCGCCCUGCUCCCUUGCAUGCAAGGUCAUGGUCUCCAGGGAAGGUCAACGCAGCAGGGGGUGCUCUAAAUGUGCUCCUCCAACUCCAAUGUGUUCUUCCAACUCCAGUGCCUCUGCUGAGAGCCUCAAGCCAACUGGCAAAAGGCGGGAUACUACAGUAAACCGGAGGCCACCAGCAGGGAGGGGACGCACUCUUAAAUGAUACAUUCCUGAGCAGCUGACAUGAUGCAGAGGCAGCCAGCAUCUCUCACAGCAUAGAAACACUCAGGGGCACAAAAGCCUCAGGAGGCCCCACCCUGGCUCAGCCCCAGGCCCAGCAGCCCCUGUCCAGCCAACCCCAAAGCCACCCUUGCAAACUCACCCCAUCUGCGCAGGGUUGGGGGUUCCCAAGAGAACACCCUGCAGAUUUUUUUUUCAAGAGCUGAAUUGGCACAGAAGGACCACCUCAGUGGACCCCUUGCUUACUCCUGGAGAGCCUCAGGCCCUGGGAAGGCGUUCUCCUGGGCCUGGGGACUCGGCCCCACCUGGUGCAGGCCUGGGCUUGGCAUUUGGCUCUUCUGAGGUCUGGGGCCCUGGCCCCCGCCCGGGGAAAUUCCAACAGUGUGGUUUCCUCUCCCUUCUGUGCGCGUCCUCCCCACUGCUCCUGGGCCCUAGUGGCGUCUGCAUGAGGCUGGAGUCGCAGCCAUGGCUCAGGGGGGUGGGGGAGUCAGAGUGCCUGGAGCCCCUGGGCGGUGGCGGUGAGGGACCCCAUCCUCCGUGCCAGGCCCCAGGCAACUCCUUUGCUAGCUCCAGCCCUGGUCGCCGCUCCGGGGUGUGGGUUGGAGGGUGGCCCAGGAUGGCACGUUGUGGAGGCUCCCAGUCCUUGCCGAGGAAGCUUUCCCUGUCAUCUGCUGCUUCCACAGGGGCCAGGCGUCCAGGCCUCCCGGCGCCCCACAACCCCCUUCCUUCUGCGGCAGUGCUCCGAUGCCGGCCGUGAGUCAGCUGUGCCGCCCUGAGCUGCAUGUCUGGGCUCGGGCCUUGCUCUCUGGGCACCUCGGUCCUGACAUCUGGGAACUCAGCAUCCUGACAGCACCCCUGCCAGGCUUCGGGCAAGGGGCCUCAGAGGUCAAAUGCGCCACGCUCCGCCUGGCAAGGGCCCAACAUUAUCUAGGCUGAUGCAUGGUGCUGGGGCAGCAGAGGGAAGGCAUCUUGGUCCAGGUCCCUUCCAGCCUCCCCUCAUGUGCAGCCAGGGACUGGCUCCGGGGCCAGGCAGGAGGGGUGCAGGGACUGGCGGGGAGCCCUCUGCCUCCCACUGCCCCCACAGGGGCCCUGGGCAUCCCAGCCGGACUCAGAACCAAACAGUCUCUGCUGCGCACAGGAUGCUCCCGGGCCACCCAGGCCUCCUUCUUGCUCCAGAGAGCCACCACUCUGGUCCCAGUGCCACCAUGACGUCCUGGGUGUAUCUCACGGGCAGUGAUGUUCCCUGCAUGCCUGCGAUCCCAGCCCCAAAUACCUUAGCUGAGGAGUACCCUACAACAGUCUGAGCAAUGAAAGGCCCCACCUCAAGUGUGCCCUGUGACCUCUGGGCUAUCGCCCACAUGCUGGGCCACCAGGGCAAGCCCAGCUCUGUCACCAACAAGCUGUGUGUCAACCAAGCACUUGCUGGCAUGAGGAUCCCACUUUUCAGCUGCCUGGUGUUUAAUAAGUGAACUCUGGCCUUCCAACGGCCUGUGUGGCCAGCUUGGCCUUCUUGUGAAACACUGGCCACUGCCCCACAUCUAAAACGGUGACUCUAAGGCCACAGGCCACAGCACAGUAGAGAGUCGCUAUCUGGAGCUGCUCCCCUGCACGGCAAUCCUCACUGACUGGGUGUGCAGAGGAUGGGGGUCCCCCCAUUCCUCACACCCCUCAGCUACCCGGGAAGGGCUUCCUCUGGAGGCUGACAUCCUCUCAAGUUUGGAAGCAGCUGGUAGCUGAGGGGAGCUGCAGGAGCUGAAGUAGCCUUGGGGGCCCACGAGCCCCUGUAUUAGCCAUCCCACGCCAGGGAUCUUGGUGACACCUGUCACUCAAGAAAACUGCACCUAUAUCUGAUUGCCACUAAACAUGCAACAUAAAUUGUUCUUUCUUCUCUACCUCUCAGCAGCCACCCCAGCCUGAGGCAGGAAAGAAGGAUCCUAUGCUCCCAGGGCGGGGGCCCCACUCUGCCACACUCCGAGGGUUUGGGGCAAGGGGCCGUGGGAGGGUGGCUGGGCCUGUCACGUCCCUCAGCCAGAGCUCCUCUAACCUGGCUACAGAGGCUCCCUCGUCUGACGCAGCCUCCUGUGGAGCAGCCAGCAGCCACCUGCUGUCUUCUUGGCCCAGACGGCACCGUCCUCACACACCAAAAGCUUCUGGCUUUCUGGAUCAAACCAAAUCUGAUCCCCCGCCUUGAAAAUGCACAGGAUUCCAAACACAAAGAAACAGCAGAAACCUGGCUGGGGUCAGCCAGAGAGGGAGGCAGGAAGAAAGACAGAGCCAGGUGCUCAGAAAGUGGAGCCUGGGCCUGGGCAGGUGGACGGUGGGGGCAGGAUCAGGUGGGGUACAGAGAGCCCUCCUCUGAGUCGGAGCUGGGGGCUGGGGGGUACUGGCUGCAGGGGAUUUGUUUUCCAUGGAAGCAGAGAGCUGCCCAAUCCACAGCAACACAGCAAGCCCGAGGUGCUUCCCUGGCAGGACUGUAAUCAGAAAGCCCAGUGGGUGAGGUAAGCGGGCAGCUGCCCCCGGCUAAGGGUUGAGAAUGGAGACUCAGGGGCCCCAAAGCAGCUCUCGGGGGGUCAGGGGCCUGCCCACACGCAGGCUCCCCAGGCACGCCCAUCCAGCCACAGGGAAAAGACCAGACCGGUCCCUGCUCCAGCCCUGGCGGCACUCUGAGUCUCUGACAGUUAGAAGCCCUCUGGGGAGUCCAGUGGGGGUGCAGACAGCUUCAGGCCAGUCCUACUGUUCAGCAAUUACCACGUCAGAAAGCAAAUGAAAACAGACAUGGAGAGGCUCAGCUUGUCACUGUGACUUUGGAUCGCCUGUCUCUUCAUUUCAGAUCAGUACCCGACCCCCAGCGGCCCCAACGCCUCCUGUGAGCUCCUUCCCCCGCCCUGGGGUCCGGCUCCCUAACAACCAGGUGUACAGGUGCCCUGGGGGGCAAGCACUGGGCUGGAGUGUGUGCAUCCUCACUCCUGCCCUGGCUCGGUCCCCGGGGAGACCACAGUGCAAACAUUCAGACAGGGGCUGGGGACCCAGAGGAAGGCUCGGCCACAUCCUGACCUUCGGUGAGCCCCUGCUGCCUGGCCUGGAAGUCCCAGUGUGCCCUGGCAGUGGGCAGGGAGCUGUACAGGG
rnacentral:lncRNA from 1 species